CCUAGGCAACCUAGGCCAGCUGUCCGCUGGGUGUGAUGUCCGGUCUGGGCGGUGGACUGGGAGGACCGGGGACUCAGAUCUCCCCACAGGACCAGGAGAAGGCUGCCCUCAUCAUGCAGGUGUUGCAGCUGACCGACCAGCAAAUCUCCAUGCUGCCACCAGAGCAGAGGCAGAGCAUCAUCAUCCUAAAGGACCAGAUUGCCAAAAGUGCCCAGUAGACCAGCCAAUCACAGUGGGGAAACUGGCUGCCGUCUUACAACUGGCUGUAUUAUUGGAAAAAUCAAUCAAUCACAUAGGCCCAAAACACAUUCAAUGUUAAUAUACACCUUGAAUGACCAUGGAACAUAUCUUGGUUGUCAUCUAAGCAUUAAAAAAAUAAUUAUUUUAAACUUCUCAUCUGCCUGGAAUAAAGUGCCCAGAGACCAUGAACACAUUUCUGCCAUUCAGUGUCUGAUUGGCCUGGAGUAUUUCAGACAAACACAACAUUUUCUUUCUUUGUCAGGUAAUCUAUUCAUACAUACAGAUCUGCAGAAGGUUCACCUUGUAUUUCAUUGUCAUGUUCUGAAUAAACAAUCAAAAUCACCA